rnacentral:rRNA from 1 species
CCUACGGGGGGCAGCAGUGGGGAAUAUUGCACAAUGGGGGAAACCCUGAUGCAGCGACGCCGCGUGAGCGAGGAAGUAUUUCGGUAUGUAAAGCUCUGUCAGCAGGGAAGAAGAAUGACGGUACCUGAAGAAGAAGCACCGGCUAAAUACGUGCCAGCAGCCGCGGUAAUACGUAUGGUGCAAGCGUUAUCCGGAUUUACUGGGUGUAAAGGGAGCGUAGACGGCUAUGCAAGUCUGGAGUGAAAGGCGGGGGCCCAACCCCCGGACUGCUCUGGAAACUGUAGAGCUAGAGUGCAGGAGAGGUA